GCCCGAGUGGUGAAAUUGGUAGACACACUAUCUUGAGGGGGUAGCGCCGAGAGGCAUCCCGGUUCGAAUCCGGGCUCGGGCA
rnacentral:tRNA from 1 species